CGGCUGCCUCCCCGGCGUGUGAGCCACGAGCAGGAACGGGGCAUUCACUGGCCACGGAGAUCAGGAGGAGCGACGGGCUCCGCAUCACAACUAUUUGUUGUCCCACGUCUCCUCUGCAGACUUCUCGUGCCUGUUUUGUCCCAAAUACCGUGGAUAUGGGAAUACAGCUCACAUUGUCUCCGUCUCUUCAGUGACUGCCAGGCUAGCAUGCACCACUUGCUUCUGCGAACUAGUAAGUUCGGCGCUGAGGGAGAAGCCCAGCGCCUCCUGCCCGCGUGGGAAGGGCGCGGGGAGGAAGAGCCGCAGUGCCGGGGCGGUGAAAGCCCCGUCACCAUCUCCCACCUGGACACCCCGCGGGGGCCGCCCCAUCGAAAAGCAAAAAGCGCUUCCUGCCAAAAGCACGUCUCCUGGGAGGGGUUGGAAGAUACUGGGAAUGAAGGAAAAGCAGCUGGUAAAGACAAGUUCUCAACUGUGCACUAAAUCCUACGGACUUCAUCAGAAUACCUCAGACCCAUCUGGUUGGAGCAAUUUGUUAAAUCCUUGGCGAUUGCACUAA
ensembl:lncRNA